CAGCCGCCACGGUAAUACGUAGGGUGCGAGCGUUGUCCGGAAUUACUGGGCGUAAAGAGUUCGUAGGCGGUUUGUCACGUCGUCUGUGAAAUCCUAGGGCUUAACCCUGGACGUGCAGGCGAUACGGGCUGACUUGAGUACUACAGGGGAGACUGGAAUUUCUGGUGUAGCGGUGGAAUGCACAGAUAUCAGGAAGAACACCGAUGGCGAAGGCAGGUCUCUGGGUAGUAACUGACGCUGAGGAGCGAAAGCAUGGGUAGCAAACAGGAUUAGAUACCCCAGUAGUCCCUGUCUCUUAUAC
rnacentral:rRNA from 1 species